CUGCAAUAGAAUGGACACUAUGGGAGAUUAAUAGUUUUGAGAUCUUCGAUCAUCAAAGAGCUCGUCUUCUUCUUAGAGUCCUCAUUCUGAAAGUCAGAGUGCUCAUUCCAGAAGCUUGUAUAUUGCAUGCAUGUAAAAAUCAAUAUUGUAAAGUUCGAUAAAAAUUGUGUGAGCAUCAAAGAUCUAACAAUUAACUAGAAUCAAAGCAGAUCUACGGGUAGUGCAAGUUGUGUUAU
rnacentral:lncRNA from 1 species